rnacentral:lncRNA from 1 species
CCGACGUUGGAUUAUCUUUAGCUCUUCUUAACUCCUCGGGAGUGAAAUACCUUCCUGAGCGAGUCAAACCUUGUGCUUCACAAACUUCUUCUUUGACUUCUUUCCCUUUGUAAAUCACCGUCACCCGUUCAUAAUUCCAAGGCGACCUAGAACUUAAAUGUAUUCCCGCAUUAUACUGGUGGGCGACCUAGAACUUAAAAGUAUUCCCGCAUUUUACUGGUGGGCGACCUAGAACUUAAAAGUAUUCCCGCAUUUUACUGGUCGGCGACCUAGAACUUAAAUGUAUUCCCGCAUUAUACUGGUGGGCGACCUAGAACUUAAAUGUAUUCCCGCAUUAUACUGGUGGGCGACCUAGAACUUAAAAGUAUUCCCGCAUUUUACUGGUGGGCGACCUAGAACUUAAAUGUAUUCCCG